rnacentral:rRNA from 1 species
GGACCCGCACAAGUAGUGGAGCAUGUGGUUUAAUUCGAAGAUACGCGCAGAACCUUACCAACACUUGACAUGUUCGUCGCGACUUUAAGAGAUUAAAGUUUUCGGUUCGGCCGGACGAAACACAGGUGCUGCAUGGCUGUCGUCAGCUCGUGUCGUGAGAUGUUGGGUUAAGUCCCGCAACGAGCGCAACCCUCACUUUUAGUUGCCAUCAUUAAGUUGGGCACUCUGAAAGAACUGCCAGUGAUAAGCUGGAGGAAGGUGGGGAUGACGUCAAGUCCUCAUGGCCCUUACGUGUUGGGCUACACACGUGCUACAAUGGUAUCUACAACAGGAAGCGAGACUGCGAGGUUAAGCAAAUCCUAAAAAGAUACCUCAGUUCGGAUUGCACUCUGCAACUCGAGUGCAUGAAGCUGGAAUUACUAGUAAUCGU